AAUGAAGAUGUUAAAGAGGAUUGAUGUUUUGUCCAAUCUAUAACUUUGGAUUCAGAAUGAACAGGUUCUUCUCUGUAAUUUUUUUUAUCAGAGAUUACUUACAAGACAGCAUCAGAAAUGGGUGCUUAACAAAAACAGAGAAGGAAAAAUGCGUUGGUAUUUUGUAUGGCUUGCAUAAGACAACAAUGAGGAUGAGAAGAAAAGAAUGGCAAUUUAACUAGACUGAUGGAUUCUGGAUUGCAAUCCAGCUACUUUACUUCAGCUAAAAGAUAAUGAAGGUUGGCUACAGAAUGCUUACAAUGAAGUGCUGAAAUACUGCAAGAGAGGCAAUUCUCUUAAUACUUCUGAAGUACUGACCCAGCAAUCCCAUGAGAGCCUCUGUUCACGAGGUGUGGUGUCUGAUUCCAGAACAAAGAGAACUGAGUACAUUCAGGUUAAUGAUAGGAACACACCAAGCCUGGAGUCCUCAGAAUGUCCUCCUGAAGUGCCCAGCCCCGGAACCACUGGACACUCACAGAAUCCCAGAUGCUCUGCUCUCAAAGGAGCAGUGCUCCCUAGAUGACCAGUUAUGCUGUAGGGCACAGCUCCACCUAACACACAAUACUUAGAUACAUUCAUAGUAAACAGAAGAAAUUUGUUUAACAGAGAGCAGAGAUUCAAGUGGUAGCAAGUAGAAGUACUUGAAACAAAAGCUCACCUAUAAAUUAAAAUUAUAACAUGCAGUCUAGAACCUAGACUUACUUAGCUAGACACCCCUUGUCUAAUAAUCUUUAGCUCACUCCAAAGUCUCUCCAGAAUUCUUCAGCCAAGCCUGGCUAUGAUCCUUUUUCCAUGGGGAAAAAAAAACAUGCUGUAAACUUGCUUCUUAGGUGAAAGAUUUAGAGUCCCUUUACCUGUGGUCACAGUCCAGAAAUCCAUUUUCUUCACUUUUAAACAGGACUCCUUCCUGCUGGUUUACCUUUCCCUGUAAAUUCCCUCCCAUAAAGAUUUUACCAUCUUUUCAUUAACAUUGGGUUCAGACUGUAAAUGUGUAUCCAUUAUGAAUCAUACAAUAUUCAGUUUAUAUAUAGCCAGAUAGUCAGAUAAACAUCUCUUGUCUGAAACCCCUCUCCCCGCUAGUUUAUCCCCUUCUGGUGAGCAGCCCUAAUUCACAGACCCGAAGAACAUAUUUUUCAGUAUAUAUCUAACAUACAUAUUACCUAUACAUACAUUUCACAAUGAUUAGGAUGACCCAGGCUUUCAGUGUGUGACACAGGCUUUCAGUAGAAACCUUGCAUUACAACCUUUGGCCAGCUAGUAUGAAGAUACCAGACUCAGGAGAUCCCUAUAACCUUCAUGCACCCUUGUGUCCUCUGCCAGUUGGCAGCAAGAGGUCACAGAGAUAGAGAGAUGGAAAAUGAGAUCUGAAUCCCUAGAUCUGAACCUGAGCCCAUGCUUUCCAGAUACAGAGCUGGAGCAGGGUCUAUUUCAGAGUUGCAGUGUGGAUUAGGGUGGCCGCCUGAGAUACAGAAAAACAGGCCAUGGCCCCCCUCCCUCUAUCCUGACCCUCCUCUUCCUCUCUCAGGAGCCCUCAUCCCUCCACUUGCAGCCUCAAUCGCCUCAGACACCCUCAUGCAGGAAGUGGUGUGGGUGAGGGGCUGGGGGAGGCUCAAGGCCUCUUUACACUUAUCUUUCCCACCCUGCACUGUGCUCUCUGGCUCAGGAAGAAGGUGGCUCUGGAC